rnacentral:ncRNA from 1 species
AGACUAUUAUGGAAAUACGUGCUAUGUAUUAAAGAGAGAAAUUUAACUUAUGUACAUGAAUAAAACAUAUGAACUCUUAGAGAAAUUAUUUAAUAAACGAAGUGAAUUGAAAUAUCUUAUUAACUUCAGGAAAAAAAAUCAAACGAGAUUCUAUGAUUAGUGUGAACUAAAAUAGAGUAGCCUAUAUAAAUAAGUAAAAUGGCCUAAAAGCUGUUUGAAUUUAUGGGGAACCUUCCUCAAAGCCUAAAUAUAAUACAUGAGCGACAGUGAAAAGUACCGUGAGGGAAAAUUUUUUUGAAAUAGUAGUUUUAUAAGCAGCUCAAGCUGAUAAUAAAAAGCAAGAGCGUACCUUUUGCAUAAUGGGUCACCAAGUUAACAUUAGAUGCGAGCUAAUUAUCUUGAUUUGAUAGAUGACAUGCAUAGUUAAACCGAUCAUUAAAAUAAUGAAUAGUGUCUAAAGUUAGACCCGAAGCCUAGUGAUCUUACUAUAGUCAGGGCUAUAAAGGUCCGAACGGGUUAUCGUUGCAAAGAUAUCCGAAGAACUAUGGUAAGCGAGUGAAAGACAACACUGACUAGGAUAGCUGGUUUUCUGCGAAACCUAUAAAAGUAGGCAGUUUAAGUAACAUCUUAGCAGGUACAGAACUUUAUCUCAGACAAGAUGUAUAUUCUCAUAUGGAUAAGUAAGGCGCGGCGCGGCGAAAGCUCUUCCUCGCUAUUUAUCUAUUUAUAUGAAAUACAUUUUAUUUGUAUACAUCGGGGGAUCGUGAAGAUUUUAUCGGUGAGUAUGUAGACUCGGAAUGACAAAGAUGGUUCUUGAAUUAUCGGACAUAGAAUGCUAAGGUUGUAUGUCAAAAGGGAAACAGCCCAGAACAAAGAAAUAGUUAAGGUUCCAAAAUUAUUAUUAAGUGAAAUUAAGAGGGUUUUUAUAUAAGUCGACAAGAAGAUAGGCCUGGAAGCAGCCAUAUUUUAAAGACCUCGUAACAGAGCACUUGUUAAAUCUUAAAAGCAUCGAAAAUUUAUCGGAUCUAAAUAAUAUACCGAAACUUUGUCCACAAAUGACCAUAAUAAAUUAAGUUAUGGUCAUUUUUGUGGGGUAGCAGAACGUUGAGUUAAUAUUUGACUUUUCUUUUUUAAAGAAAAAUAUAGGACAACUCAAGUGAUAAUGGUGACAUGAGUAACAAAAAAGAAGGGCUAUGUAAAUUAUAAUAUAAUAUAAUAUUAUAUUAUAUGUUAAGCUCUCUCGCCUAAAGCUUAUGGAAAGAGUUUUAAAAAAGUAACGGCCUCUAAGUUGAUAAUACUUAUAUUAUUGCGAUGAGAAAAUCUAAUUACUUUAGACAACAUUUAACCUUCAAGGCACGGGCAAGCACCUCGAAAAAUUUAUUUUUUUUGAGGAGCUUGCAACCGCGCCUUGUAGGGAGUGAAAAAUGUGCUGGAAAAAAAAGUAACCGAUCUGAUUUUCUUUAUAAAACUAAGUGGGUGACACUACUCAUGCAUGCAAACUACUGCGUAGUUAAGCCAGCAUGUAGUACGUAGUACCACUCGCUUAAUUAAGGAAAUAGGAGAAGGAAGUACCGUACCUAGAAACUGAAACAAGUAAGCUAGUAGAGAAUACGAAGGCGUAAUGAGGUAACAAUCAUAAAGGAACUCGGCAAACUUACUACCGUAACUUAGGGAUGUUUGUCCUCCAGUAAUUUAAGUAUUAACACUUAAAAUUGACUGGUAAUAUAUUGGGAAAAUUUCAAAAACUACUUUUAACAUAGGCGCAAGCUCUAGAUAAGUAGAUUUGAAGCGAAGUUUAUUAGUAUUUGUAGUCCCGACGGCGCGGCGCAAGCUCCUCGUCGGGGCAAUGCAAGCUCUGCUGUAACCUUUUUAGCGGGGUGCGCAAGCAGGCGCAAGCUCGCAAGCUCUAAAAAAACAAUAAAUUCGUUCAACGACUAAGGCGUGAGUAAUACAGCAAUAAUCGCCUUUUAAAACCCAACUUAUCUUUACCUGUAAUAUGCAAAUAAAAUAAUGUCCAACAAAUGAAGAAUCAAGUAAAUAAAAAUUUUUAUGAGUGAGUUGCUGGGUUUAUAGAUGCUGAAGGGUGUUUUCACAUAAAACGUAAAAUAAUGUCUAAUAAUAAAAUGCGUUAUUAUUUUGAGUUUGUAAUUAAAUUACACAUAGACGAUGAAGCCGUUUUAAGGACUAUUUGUCACAUACUAGGUGUGGGACGAGUAGUACUAAGACCUAAAUAUAAUACUUGUUCCUUUGAGGUAGGUUCUGAAAAGGAACUACGUAUUCUCAUCGAUUUAUUGGACGAGUUUCAAUUAAUGGGUGAUAAGUAUUUAGAUUAUAUUAAUUUCAGGGAGGCUUUCUUUUUAUACUUUGAUCGUUCAGAUUCAGUCACUGAAUCUUUGAAGACCAAAAUUGAAGAGAUACGGGCCAACCAUAAUACAAAACGUGCAUCUACUACUCUACCUGUCAAUUAUAAACGCGUAAUUACUGAUUAUAAGUUAUUAGGGUUUAUAGAAGGGGAGGGUAGUUUCAUCGUACAGACACGGGGGUUAACUCCUAAAUUUGAAUUAGAGUUAACUUCAGCUCAAAAACCCCUUUUAAUAGAUAUUUGUGAAUAUUUGAUGCUACGUAUCCAACUAAUAGCUGAUGCGACACAACCUCUAAAUCUACCUUCUAAAGGUGGAAUUAAAAUACGUGAUCGUAAGGCUAAGGGUAAUAGUAAACCUUCCGUGAGAUUAGAAAUCACAGGAAUUGAUUUUUUACACAAUUAUUUUAAUGUGUUUUUAAGCAAAUUAGAAUUUUAUUCUAGAAAGAAGGAGGAUUUUAAAAGCUUUUGCUUUAUUUGUAACAAAUUAUUUAGCAAAGCACACAUUGAUAAUGAAGAAGUAAAAAUUUUAUUAUUAAGGCUUUCAGAGGGAAUGAAUGGAGCAAGAUUAUCUACAAAUAAACUUACAGAUAAAACAUUAACCGAUAAGAUUAUUUGCAGGGAUGAAGAAACUCCUGAUUCUUAAGAAAAAUAAAACCCUUGAAUAUGAGAUUUAUAUCACAUAAGGCGCAAGCUCUCAAUUCACUAAUCGUGUACAGGAACAUUAUAAUAGAAAAUUUUAGCGAAAACGGUAAUAGAUAAUGAAGACAUAGUCUGAACCAUGUUGUAAAAUAUGGAAAGUUAAAGUUAAGGCGCAAGCUCUAAUUAGAGCUUUCGCCUUAAUAACUGAUAACAAGUUGAAGGAGGGCUCAUUAGUCUCGAUUAAUACGAGUAAAAAGGAAGAAGCAUGAAAUAUUGUUGUACGACUGUUUAAUUAAAACAAAGCACUUUGCAUAAAGAUGAAAAUCUAGGUAUUGAGUGUGAUCUCUGCCCGAUGCCGGCUGGUUAACGAAUUAACUAUAUUGAUAAAAGUAUGGUCUUAGAGGAACCCCCGGUUAAUGGCGGCCUUAGCGUGAGGGUCCUAAGGUAGCGAAACGCCUUGGCCGUUAAAUGCGGUCUUGCAUGAAUGAUGUAACGAUACAACAGCUGUCUCUAUGAUUGACUCAGUGAAAUUG